rnacentral:misc_RNA from 1 species
GGUUUAACUCUUCUUGGUGAAAGGUUUGUGACUGAAUUUUAUUUUGGUUAUCCUAUUGAUUCAGCAAAGAUAGGUUUACACCUUGAUAUAUUGAAGGCUGGGCAUUUUUCACAGCCUUCACAAGUUUCUUGAGAUUUAGCACUUUCAGUUGACCAGAUUGUGUGAUGAUUUGAUUGCUUGCAUCCAUAUUAGUCUUUAUAUUUUAACCAGAUUGAAAUAAACAUAAUGCAAAAUGAUGGAGGGAAAUUCCUCGUUGCUUUAUUAGGUAUCAUUCCCCUCAAGCAAAUAAAGGAAACUGAUUUUUCUUCUUAUUCUUUCCAUCCUAUUCUCUCCAUUCUCUGAACCAAAUAUAGGGUUAGUAUCUUAUGUCUGCAUGUGACAAAUGUAGUAUUCCUGAGUCACGAGUUUUGUGUUGUGCUUGGGUUAGUGGUGAUUGCAUAUUUGUUUGGUAAGAAUUACAUUGUAUUAGUGAGUAAAAUGGGUCAAAUUGACACAGGAAAAAAGAAACUUGACAAGUGUAGCCGAUGAUGAGCAUUUUUUCCCCCCAUUCUUUAUAUAUAUUUUGUUCUGAACAAUGACAUUGCUUCUCUUGUCUCUUUCUACCUUGAAAAUUAAUUUGAUAACUCUGAAAAUCCAAAUAACCUUAUUAGAAUAAUGGAUUUAUUGAAAUUCUAAUUUCAAAUGGAUUGCUGUGCAUGUGCAAGGAUUGACUAGCAGCAUGCUUGGGAUCCAGUAUAAUUGUAUUUGGUUGCUUCAGUCGCAGGCAUCUGGUUUCUUUGAUCGUAAUAUUUUUAUAUGCAGCUGUGUGAAUUCUUAGAGAAGUACCAUGCUAAUAUAGUAUUUUUUAUGUUCUUUUGUAGGCUGUUCCAAGUAACUUGGUUG